rnacentral:rRNA from 1 species
CAAAAACAUUUCCUCCUAGAAUAGGAGGUAAAGCCUGCUCACUGAGGAUUUAAAGAGCCGCAGUAUCCUAACUGUGCUAAGGUAGCAUAAUCAUUAGUCUUUUAAUUGGAGACUGGUAUGAAUGGCUUAACGAGAAAUUGACUUUUUUUGUUAUAAUAAUUAAAUUUAAUUUUUUAGUGAAAAAGCUAAAAUGAUUCAGAAAGACGAGAAGACCCUAUAGAGUUUUAUGUUUAUUUUAUAUUUAUUUUUAUUAGAUUUUUUUAAAAUAAGUAUAUAAAAACAUUUUGUUGGGGCGACAUUUAGAUAAAAAAAACUCUUUAUUUUAAUAAUUUUUUUGAAAAUAUUAUUUGAUCCUUUAGAAAAGAUCAAAAGAAAAAAUUACCUUAGGGAUAACAGCGUAAUCUUUUUUGAGAGUUCUAAUCGACAAAAAGGUUUGCGACCUCGAUGUUGGACUAAAAUUUAGACAGGGUGCAGUAGUUCUGUUUUAAGGUCUGUUCGACCUAUAAUA